rnacentral:lncRNA from 1 species
AUACAGUUGUGGAAAACUGAUCUAAAAAAGCAUGCAAGAGAUCAGCAAAAUCAGUUUUCUGAUGGAUGUAAAUGGCCCUCUAAUAGAAAUGGAAAAGCCGCUUUCUCAAGACAUUUGGGACUGACUUUGAGAGGGAGAGCUGAGAACAGAUGCAUUUAUCCUGCAGGAAGAUUCUUUUUCAAACCAAGAGAAGAUAAAGAUGUCUUAGCCUGGGAACCCAAGAUGCAAUCACAUUUUCAAAUCCAACUUUAAAUGCACCAUCAGGUCUACAAUCGAGGAGGUGUGAAUACGUGUGCUAUUGAUUAAUUUCAGCUUUGCUUGAUAUCACUCCAAGUUUCCAAUAACUGACUAUAGUUGCCAUUCCUGGACAGGGCAGGUAAUGAGAAGUGUGCACUUCGCUUUUUUUUUUCUUUUGUCUCCAGAGCUAAAUAUACACAUUCACCA